rnacentral:rRNA from 1 species
GACAGAGGGUGCAAACGUUGUUCGGAUUUACUGGGCGUAAAGCGCGUGUAGGCGGCUUUGCAAGUCGGAUGUGAAAUCCCACGGCUCAACCGUGGAAGUGCAUCCGAAACUGCAUCGCUGGAGUCUCGGAGAGGAAGGUGGAAUGCUUGGUGUAGAGGUGAAAUUCGUAGAUAUCAAGCAGAACACCGGCGGCGAAGGCGGCCUUCUGGACGAUGACUGACGCUGAGACGCGAAAGCGUGGGGAGCAAACAGG